UACGGGGGGGGCGAGCGUUGUUCGGAAUUACUGGGCGUAAAGGGUUUGUAGGUGGUCUGCUAAGUCAGACGUGAAAUCCCUCGGCUUAACCGGGGAACUGCGUCUGAUACUGGAUGGCUUGAGAUUGGGAGAGGGAUGCGGAAUUCCAGGUGUAGCGGUGAAAUGCGUAGAUAUCUGGAGGAACACCGGUGGCGAAGGCGGCAUCCUGGACCAACACUGACACUGAGGAGCGAAAGCCAGGGGAGCAAACGGG
rnacentral:rRNA from 1 species